AUUCACCUUUGUGUGGAUGGGGGCCAGAACCAGGGACAGAUGUGUUUACCUGUGUGUGGAUAUUGUUCAGCACCAAGGACAGGUGUGUUUACCU
rfam:Branchiostoma floridae genomic scaffold BRAFLscaffold_206, whole genome shotgun sequence.